rnacentral:rRNA from 1 species
GACGAACGCUGGCGGCGUGCCUAAUACAUGCAAGUUGAGCGAUGAAGAUUGGUGCUUGCACCAAUUUGAAGAGCAGCGAACGGGUGAGUAACGCGUGGGGAAUCUGCCUUUGAGCGGGGGACAACAUUUGGAAACGAAUGCUAAUACCGCAUAACAACUUUAAACAUAAGUUUUAAGUUUGAAAGAUGCAAUUGCAUCACUCAAAGAUGAUCCCGCGUUGUAUUAGCUAGUUGGUGAGGUAAAGGCUCACCAAGGCGAUGAUACAUAGCCGACCUGAGAGGGUGAUCGGCCACAUUGGGACUGAGACACGGCCCAUACUCCUACGGGAGGCAGCAGUAGGGAAUCUUCGGCAAUGGACGAAAGUCUGACCGAGCAACGCCGCGUGAGUGAAGAAGGUUUUCGGAUCGUAAAACUCUGUUGGUAGAGAAGAACGUUGGUGAGAGUGGAAAGCUCAUCAAGUGACGGUAACUACCCAGAAAGGGACGGCUAACUACGUG